GACAGAGGUGCCGAGCGUUAGGCGGAAUCACUGGGCUUAAAGCGUGUGUAGGCGGGUCCGUAAGUACCUUGUGAAAUCCCAUGGCUCAACCAUGGAACUGCUUGGUAUACUGCGGAUCUUGAGCCACCUAGGGGCAAGUGGAACAAACGGUGGAGCGGUGAAAUGCGUAGAUAUCGGGAAGAACACCCGUGGCGAAGGCGGCACUCUGGGACGGUACUGACGCUGAGACGCGAAAGCGUGGGGAGCGAACAGG
rnacentral:rRNA from 1 species